rnacentral:rRNA from 1 species
GAUCCUGGCUCAGGAUGAACGCUGGCGGCGUGCUUAACACAUGCAAGUCGAACGAAGAUACUUAAAAUGAGAGCUUCGGCAGGAAUUUUAUUUAUCUUAGUGGCGGACGGGUGAGUAACGCGUGGGUAACCUGCCUCAUACAGGGGGAUAACAGUUGGAAACGACUGCUAAUACCGCAUAAGCGCACAGGAUUGCAUGAUCCGGUGUGAAAAACUCCGGUGGUAUGAGAUGGACCCGCGU